AAUGUGCUGUGCUUGAUUGUAUUUCUGCAGUGUGUGAAUGUGCGGGUAUGUGUUGCGUAAGGGCCCUGUCUUACAACCAGGCGCAAAAUGUCAUUCUAAGUUUCCAACCAACACAGGUGUUGUUUUCUGGCUCACAGGCCAUGUUUAAAUGUAAAAUUUGUGUUGUUUUGAGUUUUUACAUUGUGU